AGUGUAGUAAUAGUCGAACUCUUUUUGAUCUGAGAGUUAGGCUUCGACCUGGGGACUGAAGCAUCUAGAAUAAACAUGCAGGAAAGGUUCUAUCAUGCUCUAAUUCCUACAAUUAGAAAUUGAGGAUAUGAAUGGCCACCACUUCCCUACAAAGAACUGACUCUGUAGACAUGCAAGGCACAUCACCUGUCAAUAACAUAGUAAACUAACA
rnacentral:lncRNA from 1 species